CCCUUAGACGUUCUGGGCCGCACGCGCGCUACACUGACCAGUGCAACAAGCAUCCGUCCUUGGCCGACAGGCCCGGGCAAUCUUUGAACGCUGGUCGUGAUGGGGAUAGACUUUUGCAAUUUUUGGUCUUCAACGAGGAAUUCCUAGUAAACGCAAGUCAUCAACUUGCAUUGAUUACGUCCCUGCCCUUUGUACACACCGCCCGUCACACCUACCGAUUGAAUGGUCCGGUGAAGCCUCCGGAUUGGCGCGCACCUCGGUGCCGCCGAGAAGUUGGCUAAACCUUACCAUUUAGAGGAAGGUGAAGUCGUAACA
rnacentral:rRNA from 1 species